AUACGGAGGAUCCGAGCGUUAUCCGGAUUUAUUGGGUUUAAAGGGAGCGUAGGUGGACAGUUAAGUCAGUUGUGAAAGUUUGCGGCUCAACCGUAAAAUUGCAGUUGAUACUGGCUGUCUUGAGUACAGUAGAGGUGGGCGGAAUUCGUGGUGUAGCGGUGAAAUGCUUAGAUAUCACGAAGAACUCCGAUUGCGAAGGCAGCUCACUAGACUGUUACUGACACUGAUGCUCGAAAGUGUGGGUAUCAAACAGGAUUAGAUACCCUGGUAGUCCACACAGUAAACGAUGAAUACUCGCUGUUUGCGAUACACUGUAAGCGGCCAAGCGAAAGCGUUAAGUAUUCCACCUGGGGAGUACGCCGGCAACGGUGAAACUCAAAUGAAUUGACGGGG
rnacentral:rRNA from 1 species